rnacentral:rRNA from 1 species
CGCAUCUGUGCAUGCAGCAUAUCAAUAAGCGGAGGAAAAGAAACUAACAAGGAUUCCCUCAGUAACGGCGAGUGAAGCGGAAGAGCUCAAAUUUGAAAUCUUGAAAGGUCACCUUUCACGAAUUGUAGUUUAAAGAAGUGUUUUCUGUUACGAUCGUAAUAUAAGUUCUUUGGAAUAGGACAUCACAGAGGGUGAGAAUCCCGUCUAUGAUUGCGAUUUGUAGCUUUGUGAUACACUUUCAAAGAGUCGGGUUGUUUGGGAGUGCAGCCCAAAACGGGAGGUAAAUUUCUUCUAAGGCUAAAUAUUGGCGAGAGACCGAUAGCGAACAAGUACCGUGAGGGAAAGAUGAAAAGAACUUUGAAAAGAGAGUUAAAUAGUACGUGAAAUUGUCAAAAGGGAAGCGUUUAACACCAGUGUUGUUUUCUGAAAAUCAACCUCUGUUAGCUUUAUGCAUGUUUGUUUAGACCUAAUCAGCUAUCUUGCAUGUUCUAUUGUUUGCAGUGGUGCACUUUUCAGUUUACAGGUCAACAUCAGUUUUUUUUACCGUAAAAAAGUUAAAGAAAGGUAGCUCAUGGCUCCGGUCGUGAGUGUUAUAGUCUUUUUCCUAUGCGGUAGGAGAGACUGAGGUCUGCAGUGUAGGCUAUUUGGCUAGAUACUCAGGUGCUAUGUGAUACCAUUUCAUAAACAACUUGUUGAUUAUGUUUUGUCUAUUGCAUACUCGCUUGUACUAUCAUACCUACGCUUAGGAUGUUGACGAUCAGCUGAGCGCG